AGUUACUUAUCUUUAAGGAAAGUAUGUGUUUUGAAAGCACAAAAAAAGGGUUCGAUCCCCUUAGUAACUU
rnacentral:tRNA from 1 species